GUUUGAUGCAAGACUAUAAAUCCAACCAAGGUGGAGAAUGUUAGGAUUUGGUUAGAUUUGUAGCUUAUUUUCUAGUUGGAUAAGGAUUAAUAUUUAAAUCUGUUGGAGAUAAAUUAAGAUUUAAAUAUUAAUUAGAGUAUGAAUCUAACUAGAUUAGAAUAAAUAUUUAAAUCUAUUGGAGAUAAAUCAAUUAAGAUUUAAAUAUUUAUUGGAAUAGGAAUCCUAAAUAUAUUAGGAUUGGGGUACGUUUUGGUAGAGCUUUAUAAAUAGUUCUUAAUGGGAUGCUUUUGGAGUGUGUACGGCUGAGAAAUCCCUUGGGUGGUGUCGUACUAAGAGAGUGAAACCUAUAUGCUUUUAGUGCACCUAGUGCAUGGGUGCACGUGGAGAGUUGUCUUCUUUGUGGCUUUAUAGAAUUCGAGAAAAGGGUAGAAAAGAUUCAGAAAAGGGAUUGGGUUGAAGCUAGUCUAUGUAGAAGAGGAGUCAGGUGUAAUCUUCUCUUAUUUAAUGAAUCUUAUUUUACUCGCAUAUUUUAUGUUUGGUUGUUUUUUCUCUUUUAUGGUUAUAUCAGUUUUUGCUGAGAAGACGGAUUUAUGGUA
rnacentral:lncRNA from 1 species